ACGCUCGACACCUACGGGAGGCAGCAGUGAGGGAUAUUGGUCAAUGGGGGAAACCCUGAACCAGCAACGCCGCGUGAGGGAUGACGGUCUUCGGAUUGUAAACCUCUGUCCUCUGUGAAGAUAAUGACGGUAGCAGAGGAGGAAGCUCCGGCUAACUACGUGUCAGCAGCCGCGGUAAUCUGAGCGGCUGGCAAGGC
rnacentral:rRNA from 1 species